CCUACGGGAGGCAGCAGUCGGGAAUUUUGGGCAAUGGGCGAAAGCCUGACCCAGCAACGCCGCGUGAAGGAUGAAGCUUUUCGGAGUGUAAACUUCAUAGAGAGAAGAGUCGGUACCAUUUGUAAGCUCCGGCUAACUCCGUGCCAGCAGCCGCGGUAAUACGGGGGGAGCAAGCGUUGUUCGGAUUUACUGGGCGUAAAGGGCGCGUAGGCGGCGUAACAAGUCACUUGUGAAAUCUCCGGGCUUAACCCGGAGCGGCCAAGUGAUACUGUUGUGCUAGAGUGCGGAAGGGGCUACUGGAAUUCUCGGUGUAGCGGUGAAAUGCGUAGAUAUCGAGAGGAACACCUGCGGCGAAGGCGGGUAGCUGGGCCGAACUGACGCUGAGGCGCGAAAGCCAGGGGAGCGAACGGGAUUAGAUACCCUUGUAGUC
rnacentral:rRNA from 1 species